GACGAUCUGCGCUUCCCGGCAGGAGAACAUUUUCCCCGGGGCCUUAAUCAUCCCUAGGGAGCUGUCCCUGGGAAGACCCGUGGGUUUUCUCAUACGGCGCCCACCUACUUUGUAGGUUCCCGGGAUCGCUCUCUCCACCGGUUGUGUGGAUCGUCA
rnacentral:other from 1 species